AUGGUCUGUAAGGUUGGCAUGUCUUUAUAUUGUAUACAGAUUUUGCACGCCAAACUUGGCAGCUUUGAAAACGAUAAUGAGAAAAAGAAAACAAAAACAACAAAAAAAAAAAAAGAGGUGGUUUGGGGUUUCUUUGGGUUGGUUUUUGUUUUGGUUUGGUUUUAUAUUGUUUUGGUUUUUUUUUUCCUCUCGUGGCAUUUGUGGAGACUAAAGGUUGGGAUGUUGUUGUCACACACACUCACUCACCCACACAGCUACACACCAAGGAAGAAGAGUGGGAAUUCUUUUUUUUAUUUUUUUGGAGUCUUACUGAACUUAAUAAGAAGAAAUUGUGCUUUUUAUUGUUAAAAAGAGUAAAUAAAUAAAAAAAAAAACAAAAAGGACUACUUAAACAUUUCUCAUUUUAAGAAGAAAAGAAAAAAACUAAGACGUUUAUCUAGCACUUGUGACUUACCAAUAAUAGAGUUUAUUGUAUUUAUGUGGAAACAGUGUUUUUAGGGAAACUAUGCCGAACACACCAAGUAAACUGCCUGUGUCAUUAUUAUUAUUGUUAUUAUUAUUAUUUUCCUUUGGGUUGGUGUUUUUGCUUUGAUUUCUCGGCUGGGUGGGGAGGUUGGAUGCAACCCUUGUGUCAACACACAGAGUCAUUCAUUCCGAGGAGCUGGACGGAUGGAUGGAUGGAUGAGGAGGACUUUAAAGAGUUAACUCUUCAGCACAGCUGCGUUAACUUUUUUAAGAAAUUACUUUUACAUGAUGUAUUUUUGCUCGGUUUCACUUUAAGCAGUCGUGUACUGUGCAACACUGUGGUUUAAAAACGAGACUUUACAGCAAAAGGCAAAACGUGUUUCUUCAUUGUCAUGAAGUUGGGCUCGUUCUCAGCUCAUCUUCACUUUGUCUUUGAUAUUGAUGAUGAAAAAGAAAAAAAAGUAUCCUAUUGAAAGAAAAUAAAUUAACACUUUUUCUGUGCUCCAUAGUGGAGGCGCUAUUUUCCAAUUUAUGAGGAUGACAAACUUAUAUAUAUAAUAUAUAUAUAAAAGUGGGGGUGGGGAGGGGGGGGAGGGGUUGAAACAUUAUUCACCCGAGAGCUUAUUACAGAUAUGUAGUAUCAAAAAGUUGUAACGAUAUUAUAUUCUACUUUAUACCUAUACAUGCUCAGUAUGACGUCACCAUUGGUAGCAGCUACCGGUUUACGCUGUAAUUUAGACACAAUUUCACUCUUCUUGUAUGGACCCUACUUUCAGUGAUGGUAGCAUUCUUUGUGCUCAACUUUCCGACGGUCCUUUCUUUUAAACUGGUGGAGUUGGAAUAUUUUUCUCGUUCUUGUUUUUUCUUUCUUUGUUUUUAUUUUAUUUUUAUUUCUUUUCUCUUUAUUUUGUUUGGGGUUUUUUUUCUUUUUUUUUUUCUUUUCUUUUUUUUUUACUGGCCAAUGGUGUCUUUCUCUGACAGUACCGACUUCAAUUUCAACUUUAUUAGGAGUCCAGUAUUUUGUACCACAUUAUGACAACUUGUUAUUCUUGUGGUGUAAAUAAAAGAAAAAAGUUAAUUAUAGUA